rnacentral:tRNA from 1 species
GGCAGGGUGUAGCUCAGUGGUAGAGCACCUGCCUGGCAUGUGUGGGGCCCUAGGUUUAAUCCCUAGUGCCA